rfam:Echinococcus multilocularis genomic scaffold, pathogen_EmW_scaffold_01
GGUAGCGUGGCCGAGCGGUCUAAGGCGCCGGUUUAAGGCACCGGUCCGAAAGGGCGUGGGUUCGAAUCCCACCGCUGCCA